rnacentral:rRNA from 1 species
CACGUAGGCACCAAGCGUUGUCCGGAUUUAUUGGGCGUAAAGAGCUCGUAGGCGGUUCGGUACGUCGGGUGUGAAAACUCUGGGCUCAACCCAGAGAUGCCACCCGAUACUGCUGUGACUCGAGUGCGGUAGGGGAGCGGGGAAUUCCUGGUGUAGCGGUGAAAUGCGCAGAUAUCAGGAAGAACACCCGUGGCGAAAGCGGCUCUCUGGAACGGUACUGACGCUGAGACGCGAAAGCGUGGGGAGCGAACAGG